CGGCGUAGCGAGGGGCCAUGGAGACGAGGUGGGACUCGAGGCGCUUGCGAGGAGGACGUGCAGGUGCCGGUGAUGGUGGUAUAGGAGAAGGAUAGAGGUUUGAGGCGGAGGUGAGGGACGAGGCGGCCGGGGGUGGGGCAGCCGAGGCAAGAGAGGAGCCAGUGCGAGUGGAAGUUGAGUAGCGGCGGCGGCAUGGAGACCGUGGUGACUGGCGAAUAGUGAGGCCCCGUCCGGCUAGCUAUUAACUUAUCAAUUUUCUACGCACUUCUCGAGCUAUAAAACGGUAUUUUUUAAAAAAAGUUCUAUAAAAAGUUUCUUUAAAAAAUCAUAUUAAUCUAGUAUUUUCUUAGGUUGGAUUGAAUUCAUUUGAGGAUUAUAGUUGGUAGAAAGAUUUAAAUGAUAUACUUCUCUUUAUCUAUGAUUCAAAGCAAGUUCUAACUGCUAAGAAGAGGUACUGUCAGAAAGGGAAUAAAAAAAAAAGAGACUAACCAGUUCUUCUUGUUCUUGUAAUCAAAAUCAAGAAAGGGGAAAAAGAAUUGAAGCCAGACGGCCAGCAACUCCACGGCUCCGCGUCGAUCUCACCGGUCGUCGCCUUUCGCCGCGCGCCCAAUCGCCUCCCGCUGACCGCGGCCUACCCUCGCGCGCCGCGCGCUUGCGCCGCCCCCGAACCCCACGU
rnacentral:lncRNA from 1 species